GUUACCCUUGGGGUAAGUGACGCAGUAUCCUAGUCAGGUAUGCCUUUUUUGAAGACGGGCCUAAAAAUCCGUCGCGGGCACAUCGAUGAAGUUCCUGGUGUUGGCUGCCGACGCCCAGUCGGGGGCUGGUACUGGGGGUUAAGGAAAUGGGGCGACCCGCAAUGGCAUGCGGGCGUUGACCCUGUUUCCGUGGAGACCCAAGUGCGUGGUGUUAAAGCUAUGGCUUGGGGUGUGAACCUGCAUGUGGUGGGGAGCUGCGUGCAGUGUAGCCUGCCUUGAGUGGUGACGGUGGAUGUCCUGCGUGCCGGCUGCCGGACCAUGGGCCCAUGGGCGGCUGACGGCGGGCUGAAACCGCCAUUGCAAAAGAGGCUAGGAAAAGGCCAACCUGCUGAGGAAAACUCCUAGGCUGUCGAAUAGGGCGGCGCGGGGAUUGCAGUGUGGACUCAGUGGUAAUCCAGUCCCGGGACGGUCGGCGUUCCGGAAACAAUCCGAAGGGGAAACCACCGGUUUGGCGACAGCCGGCGAUUGUUUGGGAAAACCUGCUGGACCUCAAGCCACAAUAUUUACCCGCGCUGCUGUCACUUACCCUUUUACAUAC
rnacentral:sRNA from 1 species